rnacentral:rRNA from 1 species
GACGAACGCUGGCGGCGUGCCUAAUACAUGCAAGUAGAACGCUGAAGGAGGAGCUUGCUUCUCUGGAUGAGUUGCGAACGGGUGAGUAACGCGUAGGUAACCUGCCUGGUAGCGGGGGAUAACUAUUGGAAACGAUAGCUAAUACCGCAUAAGAGUAGAUGUUGCAUGACAUUUACUUAAAAGUUGCAAUUGCAUCACUACCAGAUGGACCUGCGUUGUAUUAGCUAGUUGGUGAGGUAACGGCUCACCAAGGCAACGAUACAUAGCCGACCUGAGAGGGGGGUCGGCCACACUGGGACUGGGACACGGCCCAGACUCCUACGGGAGGCAGCAGUAGGGAAUCUUCGGCAAUGGACGGAAGUCUGGCCGAGCAACGCCGCGUGGGUGGAGAAGGUUUUCGGGUCGUAAAGCUCUGUUGUAAGAGAAGAACGAGUGUGAGAGUGGAAAGUUCACACUGUGACGGUAUCUUACCAGAAAGGGACGGCUAACUACGUG